CCUACGGGAGGCUGCAGUGGGGAAUAUUGGUCAAUGGGCGCAAGCCUGACCCAGCAACGCCGCGUGAAGGAAGAAGGCUUUCGGGUUGUAAACUUCUUUUGUCAGGGAAGAGUAGAAGACGGUACCUGACGAAUACGCCACGGCUAACUACGUGCCAGCAGCCGCGGAAAUACGUAGGUGGCAAGCGUUGUCCGGAUUUACUGGGUGUAAAGGGCGUGUAGCCGGGUUGACAAGUCAGAUGUGAAAUCCUGCGGCUUAACCGCAGAACUGCAUUUGAAACUGUUGAUCUUGAGUACUGGAGAGGCAGAUGGAAUGCCUGGUGGAGGGGUGAAAUGCGUAGAGAUUAGGAGGAACACCAGGGGCGAAGGCGGUCUGCUGGACAGCAACUGACGGUGAGGCGCGAAAGCGUGGGGAGCAAACAGGAUUAGAUACCCUAGUAGUC
rnacentral:rRNA from 1 species